rnacentral:rRNA from 1 species
GACGAACGCUGGCGGCGUGCUUAACACAUGCAAGUCGAACGGACUAUCUCAUUUCGGUGGGGUGGUUAGUGGCGAACGGGUGAGUAACGCGUAGACAACCUACCUCUUAGAUGGGGACAACAUCGCGAAAGCGGUGCUAAUACCGAAUGAAGUGACUUUCCUGCAUGGGAGAGAUACUAAAGGUGGCCUCUAUUUAUAAGCUACCACUGAGAGAUGGGUCUGCGUCUGAUUAGCUAGUUGGCGGGUAACGGCCACCAAGGCAACGAUCAGUAGCCGGUCUGAGAGGAUGAACGGCCACAUUGGGACUGAGACACGGCCCAAACUCCUACGGGAGGCUG